rnacentral:lncRNA from 1 species
CUCAGAACAAAUUUUUUGUCUUGCAGAAUGCUCACAGGCUGAACAUUCAAGAAAGCUAGAGAAUUAUAAAAAUGCAAGUGAUAGAUUUUCUCUCCAGGAUGGAUUUAUUUAUACAGUAAGAAUGAAGAUAUAUUUUGCCUGAAGAUGCAAGCGAGAUACAGAAAUACUAGCGAUCCAGUAAUUAAGAUCACUGAGUGGCACCCUUGUGUACGUGCUCUUCAACAGUGAAUAGACGCUUCCAGCCCUUCCUGUUGAAGAUUUCUGCGGUAUACCUGUGAAAGAGCUGAAACCUAAUUGUCCUGAAAGACACUGCAUUACUGGGAAGGAAACCCUAUCUCCAGGCACUACAUAUGCAACUCAAAUGUGGUGAGUGAGAGGAGUCUGUGGCACCCACACCCCAUAACAACGGUGUUUUGCACACAUCUGCAGUACAGACUCUCUGAGCCAGGACUGCGUGAAGGUGAGACCUGGUUCCUCUGCAUCUGCUUCCUCUUCUCCCUGCUUUCCCC